rnacentral:rRNA from 1 species
AUUGAACGCUGGCGGCAUGCCUUACACAUGCAAGUCGAACGGUAACAGGUCUGUCGGGAUGCUGACGAGUGGCGAACGGGUGAGUAAUACAUCGGAACGUGCCUAGUAGUGGGGGAUAACUACUCGAAAGAGUGGCUAAUACCGCAUGAGAUCUAUGGAUGAAAGCAGGGGACCUUCGGGCCUUGUGCUACUAGAGCGGCCGAUUGCAGAUUAGGUAGUUGGUGGGAUAAAAGCUUACCAAGCCUACGAUCUGUAGCUGGUCUGAGAGGACGAGAAGCCACACUGGGACGGAGGCACGGCCCAGACUCCUACGGGAGGAAGCAGUGGGGAAUUUUGGACAAUGGGCGCAAGCCUGAUCCAGCAAUGCCGCGUGCAGGAUGAAGGCCUUCGGGUUGUAAACUGCUUUUGUACGGAACGAAAAGUCUUGGGUUAAUACCCUGGGAUCAUGACGGUACCGUAAGAAUAAGCACCGGCUAACUACGUGCCAGCAGCCGCAGUAA